UACGGAGGGUGCAAACGUUGCUCGGAAUCAUUGGGCGUAAAGCGCACGUAGGUGGUCCAGCAAGUCGGGUGUGAAAGCCCUCGGCUUAACCGAGGAAGUGCAUUCGAAACUACUGGACUUGAGUACUGAAGAGGGUCGCGGAAUUCCCGGUGUAGAGGUGAAAUUCGUAGAUAUCGGGAGGAACACCAGUGGCGAAGGCGGCGACCUGGGCAGAUACUGACACUGAGGUGCGAAAGCGUGGGGAGCAAACAGG
rnacentral:rRNA from 1 species